rnacentral:rRNA from 1 species
UGGGGAAUAUUGCACAAUGGGGGAAACCCUGAUGCAGCGACGCCGCGUGAGCGAAGAAGGCUUUCGAGUCGUAAAGCUCUGUCCUAUGAGAAGAUAAUGACGGUAUCAUAGGAGGAAGCCCUGGCUAAAUACGUGCCAGCAGCCGCGGUAAUACGUAUGGGGCGAGCGUUGUCCGGAAUUAUUGGGCGUAAAGGGUACGUAGGUGGUUUUUUAAGUCAGGUGUCAAAGCGUGGAGCUUAACUACUGUAAGCAUUUGAAACUGCAUAUCUUGAGAAGAGUAGAGGUAAGUGGAAUUUUUAGUGUAGCGGUGAAAUGCGUAGAUAUUAAAAAGAAUACCGGUGGCGAAGGCGACUUACUGGGCUCAUUCUGACGCUGAGGAACGAAAGCGUGGGUAGCAAACAGG